AUUGAACGCUGGCGGCAGGCCUAACACAUGCAAGUCGAGCGGAUGAAGGGAGCUUGCUCCUGGAUUCAGCGGCGGACGGGUGAGUAAUGCCUAGGAAUCUGCCUGGUAGUGGGGGAUAACGUCCGGAAACGGGCGCUAAUACCGCAUACGUCCUGAGGGAGAAAGUGGGGGAUCUUCGGACCUCACGCUAUCAGAUGAGCCUAGGUCGGAUUAGCUAGUUGGUGGGGUAAAGGCCUACCAAGGCGACGAUCCGUAACUGGUCUGAGAGGAUGAUCAGUCACAUGGGAAAUGAGACACGGCCCAGACCCCUAGGGGGGGCAGAGGUGGGGAAUUUUGGAAAGGGGGCGAAAGCCUUAGCCAGCCAUGCCGGGGGGGGGAAGAAGGUCUUCGGUUUGUAAAGCACUUUAAUGUGGGGGGAAGGGCAGUAAGUUAAACCUUUGCUGCUUUGGGUGUACCAACAGAAAAAGCCCGGGUGACCUUCGG
rnacentral:rRNA from 1 species